rnacentral:rRNA from 1 species
UACGGGGGGGGCAAGCGUUGUUCGGAAUUACUGGGCGUAAAGGGCCAGUAGGCGGCCAACUAAGUCGGAUGUGAAAUCCCCAGGCUCAACCUGGGAACUGCAUCCGAUACUGGAUGGCUUGAAUUCGGGAGAGGGAUGCAGAAUUCCAGGUGUAGCGGUGAAAUGCGUAGAUAUCUGGAGGAAUACCGGUGGCGAAGGCGGCAUCCUGGACCGACAUUGACGCUGAACGGCGAAAGCUAGGGGAGCAAACGGGAUUAGAAACCCCCGUAGUCC